UUUUGUGAGAAAAAGAGCUAGACAGCAAAGAAAAUGUAAGACCCCCUUUCGGGGACCCCCACUCUAGUCUCGGGAGUGUGAGAGCACCCAAAGAAACACGAGGACCC
rnacentral:pre_miRNA from 7 species